AUGCAUUAAACGGGAUCCAGUCUUCGGCUUGGUGAUAGUGGCGGACGGGUGAGUAACGCGUGGGAACCUGCCCAGUGGUGGGGGAUAACUGCGGGAAACUGCAGCUAAUACCGCAUGAGCCCGAGAGGGGAAAGAUUUAUCGCCAUUGGAGGGGCCCGCGUUCGAUUAGGUAGUUGGUGGGGUAAAGGCCUACCAAGCCGACGAUCGAUAGCUGGUCUGAGAGGAUGAUCAGCCACACUGGGACUGAGAUACGGCCCAGACUCCUACGGGAGGCAGCAGUGGGGAAUAUUGGACAAUGGGGGCAACCCUGAUCCAGCAAUGCCGCGUGAGUGAUGAAGGCCUUCGGGUUGUAAAGCUCUUUUGCCAGGGACGAUGAUGACGGUACCUGGAGAAUAAGCCCCGGCUAACUUCGUGCCAGCAGCCGCGGUAAUACGAAGGGGGCAAGCGUUGUUCGGAAUUACUGGGCGUAAAGGGCGCGUAGGCGGCCGAUCAAGUCAGGCGUGAAAUUCCCGGGCUCAACCUGUGGGCUGCGCUUGAUACUGAUUGGCUUGAAUGCGGGAGAGG
rnacentral:rRNA from 1 species